AGAAGAACCCCUUAGCCAUUCCAUCACCCAUUGAUUCAUCACAUUUAGUUUACAAUCUGUGCAUUUAGUUCAAAUUCGUCCAAACACAAUUCCCCCAUAUUUUGUUAAGUUUGAGUCUUCAUAAUCUGUCCUCUUUGGUGUUUUUAAGUAUUUUGAAUCAUAAGUUUUGUCAAAUUCGUCCAAAUCUUGUCUUAGUUGCUGUUUGAGUCAAUUAACUUGUUUUAAUCAGUUUUGGGCAGAUUUGAGUGUUUCAAAUCUGUUUUGAAUCUUAGUAGUCUAAUUAGAGUCUUUAAGUUUAGUUUUUGUGUUUCUAAGUCGAUUUGUAUUAGAUUAGCACCCCUAGUUAAUCCCCGGUUAGAACGAUCCCUACUUACAUCAUUACUACAAUUGUCACAAAUAGGGUUUAAUUUGUGUGUCAAGUUAAUUUUCACAUCACGUUCUUAAAACAAUAGUAAGCAA
rnacentral:lncRNA from 1 species